CCCUUAUCCACUUUGUCGGUCAAUUUCGAUGAUCAGUCGGGUGAUGGAUAUAGAUUGAUUUAACCAGAAACAGCUUAACUGCAUUUUACUUGUCCUCCUUUUUUCCAUGAUUAUUUUUGUAUCAUAGACUGAGGCAACACAUACCUUUUCAUCCGGGGAGAAGGGAUGCCGCUGGAUCUCGGUCUCCUCGACGGAGAGGGCCUUCUUGAUCUGGUUCGGCUCGCCGGUCGAGAGAUCCGAGUCGUCCAUGGAGGGGGCCGUCGUCGAGGAGGUGUUCUUGAGGUGCUUCCGCGCGAGGUAGCCGCGGAUCCCGGCCUGGAUCUUGGUCGCCGCGCUCGACAGAGAGGAGUCGAUCUCCGAGCCCAGGAGCUCCAUGUCCGGAGGCGGCAGCUCGUCUUCGUCUACCACUGUUGACUCAGUCCGGGGGUUCUCCUGAAAAUAUUACAUUCCAUAUCAGUGAAGGACACGUCAAUUUUUUUUUUUUUUUUUUUUUUUUUUUUUUUACACGUUAAAGGAUAGGAACUGCGGGGUUGCAAGUUUAAUCAAAAUUUCAAAAUUCUCUAACUUCCCGUGGCUUUUUGGGAAUUUCCCUGACCAUUGGCCUUGAAAAUCCCUGACUUCUUAAAAAAAAGAUAAAAAAGGUUAAUUUAAGAACAGCGGUGCAAACUUUGAAGCACUAAGAUUAUACAUUCGGGGGUGGGGGGGGGGGGGUGUGAUAACCCAUGGAUGAUUUCAAAAUGAGCUCGCUCUAACGGCAAUCCUCAGAGUCUGUGUCCUAUCCUCCAAGUUAAUACGAGAGAGACAUUAGUGGUUUUAAAAUUUAAAUUUAGACGGCGUUUUAAGACUAGAACGAAAUUGUAGGUGAGAAUUUGAAACUUGCAAAUAAUCCAAGUACGAAAAUUUACAUGAGGAUUUACAAAAUAUUGUCACUCAUUACGUGGCUGAAUAGAAAAUAGGAGAAAAGACUGGAACAAACCAAUCAAGAGCAGAUAGGUUUGAAUUUUAUGUCCCUUCAAGUUGAAGGCGCACGAAUCGCGGUUUCAGUCCUCACAGCACACGUUUUGCAGCAAAAAAUUCCCGAAAACUCAGCCAUACUGACGCACGGACCGGCGCACAAAGGAAGUUUUAAUUGUUAGGCCGGAUCCUUUAAAAUUUCUCUGGCUCGCAGCAAACUUCUUUGACUUUUUCAGGUUAUCUUUGACCCUUGCAUCCUUGAUACGGCGCGGCGUUUUCCCUCACCAAAGUAGCAUAGUUUUCAAAACCUAAAGUACAAAUCCUCCAGAUCGCGAAAUUAGGAUGGCUGUGAUGUAUACAGUGUGUCAGUUGGAGCCACGCGUGACGCAGCUGCAUCGCUUUGAAACGAGACCUUCCUAGUUCGCCUUCAAAUUUGAUGAUGCAAUCCAACCCCACACUGAAGUUAUUUAAAAAAAUGCAUCCACCGAUUGGCUGUAUUCUGAAUGUCUCUAUGCACCCCGAUGAGCUAGUACUUACACUGGAGGAAUUUUAUCAAUACAUCUACAGACACGCACUGUCCUGCUUGGGAAAAAUGUCAUAAGAACAAUCAAAUGAUGCCAAAAAUUUCUGGAUAAAAUACUAUUUUUUAGAAUAGUUAUGAAUAUUUUCUUUCAAAGUUUAAGACGAUGUAGAUAAAAUUGCAGAAAAACUUGUCUGAAAAAUUGGAAGAUUUUAUUAAAAAUUUCUCCACAAGAUCUGUGUCGCAUCAACAAAAUGGCAUGAAAAACAACAAAGAUUUGAAACAUUGGCCAUUUUGCGUAAAACGCAAAUUUGAGAAAAAACUUCGUCCUUUUGC
rnacentral:lncRNA from 1 species